rnacentral:rRNA from 1 species
UACGUAGGGGGCAAGCGUUGUCCGGAAUCAUUGGGCGUAGAGGGUGCGUAGGCGGGUCUUAAGUCAGGGGUGAAAUCCUGGAGCUCAACUCCAGAACUGCCUUUGAUACUGAGGAUCUUGAGUUCGGGAGAGGUGAGUGGAACUGCGAGUGUAGAGGUGAAAUUCGUAGAUAUUCGCAAGAACACCAGUGGCGAAGGCGGCUCACUGGCCCGAUACUGACGCUGAGGCACGAAAGCGUGGGGAGCAAACAGGG